ACUGUUUCGGCUAGGGGGUCAUACCGACUUACCAAACCGAUGCAAACUCCGAAUACCGAUGAGUGAUAUCCGGGAGACACACAGUGGGUGCUAACGUCCAUUGUGGAGAGGGAAACAACCCAGACCGCCAGCUAAGGCCCCAAAUUCCUAGUUAAGUGGGAAACGAGGUGGGAAGGCAUAGACAGCUAGGAGGUUGGCUUAGAAGCAGCCAUCCUUUAAAGAAAGCGUAAUAGCUCACUAGUCGAGUCGGCCCGCGCGGAAGAUGUAACGGGGCUCAAACUAGGAGCCGAAGCUGCGGAUUUGAAUUUGUUUUCAAGUGGUAGGGGAGCGUUGUGUAAGCCUGUGAAGGUGUGUCGUAAGGCAUGCUGGAGGUAUCACAAGAGCGAAUGCUGACGUGAGUAACGAUAAUGCGAGUGAAAAGCUCGCACGCCGGAAGAUCAAGGGUUCCAGUCCAACGUUAAUCGGGGCUGGGUGAGUCGACCCCUAAGGCGAGGCCGAAAGGCGUAGUCGAUGGGAAAUCGGUUAAUAUUCCGAUACUUGUUUAUAAUGCGAUGGAGGGACGGAGAAGGUUAUGUCAGCCUGGCGUUGGUUGUCCAGGUGAAAGGAUGUAGGCUUACAACUUAGGUAAAUCCGGGUUGUUAUAUGGCUGAGAUCUGAUAGCAAGCUGUACUUGUACAGUGAAGUGGCAAAUACCAUGCUUCCAGGAAAAGCUUCUAAGCAAUAGUUAUAAACGAAUCGUACCCUAAACCGACACAGGUGAUCAGGUAGAGAAUACCAAGGCGCUUGAGAGAACUCUGCUGAAGGAACUAGGCAAAAUGGUACCGUAACUUCGGGAGAAGGUACGCUGCUGAUGGUGAUAGGACACGCUCCUUGAGCUGUUGGCAGUCGCAGAUACCAGGCUGCUGCAACUGUUUAUUAAAAACACAGCACUCUGCAAACACGAAAGUGGACGUAUAGGGUGUGAUGUCUGCCCGGUGCUGGAAGGUUAAUUGAUGGGGUUAGCGUAAGCGAAGCUCUUGAUCGAAGCCCCAGUAAACGGCGGCCGUAACUAUAACGGUCCUAAGGUAGCGAAAUUCCUUGUCGGGUAAGUUCCGACCUGCACGAAUGACAUAAUGAUGGCAGCGCUGUCUCCAGCAGAGACUCAGUGAAAUCGAAAUCGCAGUGAAGAUGCUGUGUACCCGCGGCUAGACGGAAAGACCCCGUGAACCUUUACUACAGCUUUACAUUGAACUUUGACCUGACUUGUGCAGGAUAGGUGGGAGGCUUUGAAGCCGAGACGCUAGUCUCGGUGGAGCCAAUCUUGAAAUACCACCCUGGUCAUGUUGGGGUUCUAACUCAGG
rnacentral:rRNA from 1 species